GACGAACGCUGGCGGCGUGCUUAACACAUGCAAGUCGAGCGGAAAGGCCCUUCGGGGUACUCGAGCGGCGAACGGGUGAGUAACACGUGAGUAAUCUGCCCUGUGCUUUGGGAUAGCCACCGGAAACGGUGAUUAAUACCGGAUAUGACCGAUGGUCGCAUGAUUGUUGGUGGAAAGUUUUUUCGGCGCAGGAUGUGCUCGCGGCCUAUCAGCUUGUUGGUGGGGUAAUGGCCUACCAAGGCUUCGACGGGUAGCCGGCCUGAGAGGGUGACCGGCCACACUGGGACUGAGACACGGCCCAGACUCCUACGGGAGGCAGCAGUGGGGAAUAUUGGACAAUGGGCGGAAGCCUGAUCCAGCAACGCCGCGUGAGGGAUGACGGCCUUCGGGUUGUAAACCUCUUUCAGCACCGACGAAGCGAGAGUGACGGUAGGUGCAGAAGAAGGACCGGCCAACUACGUGCCAGCCGCCGCGGUAACAC
rnacentral:rRNA from 1 species